rnacentral:rRNA from 1 species
AGCAGCCGCGGUAAUUCCAGCUCCAAUAGCGUAUAUUAAAGUUGUUGCAGUUAAAAAGCUCGUAGUUGAAUUUCGGGGUUUAUCCGUCGGUCGGGCUUUUGGGUCUGUACUGGCGUGAUGGAUUCCUACCUUCUGAAUAACCGGCAUGUCAUUAAUUUGGUGCGCCGGGGAAGCAGGACUGUUACCUUGAAAAAUUAGAGUGCUUAAAGCAGGCUUAUGCCUGAAUACAUUAGCAUGGAAUAAUGAAAUAGGACGGCAUGGUUCUAUUUUGUUGGUUUCUAGGAUCACCGUAAUGAUUAAUGGGGAUAGUUGGGGGCAUUAGUAUUCAAUUGUCAGAGGUGAAAUUCUUGGAUUUAUUGAAGACUAACUUCUGCGAAAGCAUUUGCCAAGGAUGUUUUCAUUAAUCAAGAACGAAAGUUAGGGGAUCGAAGACGAUCAGAUACCGUCGUA